GAUUUAUCGGUAACGGAUGGGCAUGCGGCGCAUUAGGCUAGUUGGCGGGGUAACGGCCACCAAGGCGACGAUGCGUAGGGGUUCUGAGAGGAAGGUCCCCCACACUGGUACUGAGACACGGUCCAGACUCCUACGGGAGGCAGCAGUGAGGAAUAUUGGGUCAAUGGCCGAGAGGCUGAACCAGCCAAGUAGCGUGAAGGAUGAAGGUUCUAUGGAUUGUAAACUUCUUUUAUACGGGAAUAAACCUCCCACGUGUGGGAGCUUGUAUGUACCGUAUGAAUAAGCAUCGGCUAACUCCGUG
rnacentral:rRNA from 1 species